GAGACUGCCAGGGAUAACCUGGAGGAAGGUGGGGAUGACGUCAAAUCAUCAUGCCCCUUAUGCUUAGGGCUACACACGUGCUACAAUGGGUAGUACAGAGGGUUGCCAAGCCGUAAGGCGGAGCUAAUCCCUUAAAGCUACUCUCAGUUCGGAUUGUAGGCUGAAACUCGCCUACAUGAAGCUGGAGUUACUAGUAAUCGCAGAUCAGAAUGCUGCGGUGAAUGCGUUCCCGGGUCUUGUACACAC
rnacentral:rRNA from 1 species